rnacentral:rRNA from 1 species
GACGAACGCUGGCGGCGUGCUUAACACAUGCAAGUCGAACGGUGAAGCUCCAGCUUGCUGGAGUGGAUCAGUGGCGAGCGGGUGAGUAACACGUGAGCAACCUGCCCCUGACUCUGGAAUAAGCGCUGGAAACGGCGUCUAAUACUGGAUACGAGAAGGGUCCGCAUGGGCACUUUCUGGAAAGUUUUUCGGUUGGGGAUGGGCUCGCGGCCUAUCAGCUUGUUGGUGAGGUAAUGGCUCACCAAGGCGACGACGGGUAGCCGGCCUGAGAGGGCGACCGGCCACACUGGGACUGAGACACGGCCCAGACUCCUACGGGAGGCAGCAGUGGGGAAUAUUGCACAAUGGGCGAAAGCCUGAUGCAGCGACGCCGCGUGAGGGAUGACGGCCUUCGGGUUGUAAACCUCUUUCAGCAGGGAAGAAGCGAAAGUGACGGUACCUGCAGAAGAAGCACCGGCUAACUACGUG